rnacentral:tRNA from 1 species
GGUGAGAUGUCCGAGAGGUUUAAGGAGCAAGCCUGGAAAGUUUGUAUACGAUUUUUCGUAUCGAGGGUUCGAAUCCCUCUCUCACCG